rnacentral:rRNA from 1 species
CAGCCGCCGCGGUAACACGAAGGGGGCUAGCGUUGUUCGGAUUUACUGGGCGUAAAGCGCACGUAGGCGGACUUUUAAGUCAGGGGUGAAAUCCCGGGGCUCAACCCCGGAACUGCCUUUGAUACUGGGAGUCUUGAGUUCGAGAGAGGUGAGUGGAAUUGCGAGUGUAGAGGUGAAAUUCGUAGAUAUUCGCAGGAACACCAGUGGCGAAGACGGCUCACUGGCUCGAUACUGACGCUGAGGUGCGAAAGCGUGGGGAGCAAACAGGAUUAGAUACCCGUGUAGUCCCUGUAUCUUAUAC